rnacentral:rRNA from 1 species
UACGAAGGGGGCUAGCGUUGCUCGGAAUUACUGGGCGUAAAGCGCACGUAGGCGGCUUGUUAAGUCAGGGGUGAAAUCCUGGAGCUCAACUCCAGAACUGCCUUUGAUACUGGCGAGCUUGAGUUCGGGAGAGGUGAGUGGAACUGCGAGUGUAGAGGUGAAAUUCGUAGAUAUUGGGAAGAACACCGGUGGCGAAGGCGGCGACCUGGUCCGAUACUGACGCUGAGGCGCGAAAGCGUGGGGAGCAAACAGG